CACGGUCCAGACUCCUACGGGAGGCGUGUAAAGUGGCGAACGGGUGAGUAACGCGUGGGCAACCUACCCUUAAGUUGGGGAUAACUUCGCGAAAGCGUAGCUAAUACCCGAUAACAUUCCCAAAUCGAAAGGCAGGGGAAUCAAAGGUGGCUAAGGAUUAUCCGCUACCGCUUGGGGAUGGGCUCGCGUCCCAUUAGCUUGUUGGUGUGGUAACGGCGCACCAAGGCUACGAUGGGUAACCGGCCUGAGAGGGUGACCGGUCACACUGGAACUGAGACACGGUCCAGACUCCUACGGGAGGCAGCAGUGGGGAAUUUUGCGCAAUGGGCGAAAGCCUGACGCAGCAACGUCGCGUGGGUGAUUAAGGCCUUCGGGUCGUAAAGCCCUGUCAUGCGGGAAGAAGUGCAUUGUUUCCAAUAAAAGCAAUGCUUGACGGUACCGCAGGAGGAAGCCCCGGCCAACUCCGUGCCAGCAGCCGCGGUAAUACGGGGGGGGCAAGCGUUAUUCGGAAUUACUGGGCGUAAAGCGCGUGUAGGCGGCAAGAUAAGUCAGGUGUGAAAUCCCUUGGCUCAACCAAGGAACUGCGCUUGAAACUGUCUCGCUUGAGUACGGGAGAGGAGAGUGGAAUUCCCAGUGUAGCGGUGAAAUGCGUAGAUAUUGGGAGGAACACCGGUGGCGAAGGCGGCUUUCUGGACCGUUACUGACGCUGAGACGCGAAAGCUAGGGGAGCAAACGGGAUUAGAUACCCCGGUAGUCCUAGCUGUAAACGAUGGGCACUUGGUGUAGCGGGUAUCGACCCCUGCUGUGCCGAAGCUAACGCAUUAAGUGCCCCGCCUGGGGAGUACGGUCGCAUGCUGAAACUCAAAGGAAUUGACGGGGGCCCGCACAAGCGGUGGAGCAUGUGGUUCAAUUCGACGCAACGCGAAGAACCUUACCUGGGUUUGAACCGCAGGUGAAAACUUCAGAAACGAAGUCCUCCUUCGGGACACCUGUAGAGGUGCUGCAUGGCUGUCGUCAGCUCGUGUCGUGAGAUGUUGGGUUAAGUCCCGCAACGAGCGCAACCCCUGCCCUUAGUUGCCAGCGGUUCGGCCGGGGACUCUAAGGGGACUGCCGGUGAUAAGCCGCAGGAAGGUGGGGAUGACGUCAAGUCCUCAUGGCCUUUAUGCCCAGGGCUACACACGUGCUACAAUGGUCGGUACAAAGGGUUGCGAAAUCGUGAGGUGGAGCCAAUCCCAAAAAGCCGGUCUCAGUUCGGAUUGUAGUCUGCAACUCGACUACAUGAAGUUGGAAUCGCUAGUAAUCGCGGAUCAGCAGGCCGCGGUGAAUACGUUCCCGGGCCUUGUACACACCGCCCGUCACAUCACGGGAGUUGGCUAUACUAGAAGUCACUGGGCCAACCCGCAAGGGAGGUAGGUGCCGAAAGUAUGGUUAGCGACUGGGGUGAAGUCGUAACAAGGUA
rnacentral:rRNA from 1 species